UCAUUAAAUCAGUUACGGUUCCUUAGAUGUUGACUGUCUACAUGGAUAACUGUGGUAAUUCUAGAGCUAAUACAUGCACAAAAGCUUUGACCUUCAAGGAAAAAGCGCAUUUAUUAGACCAAGACCAAUGGGGUACCUUACGGUGUCCCUAACGGUGGUGACUCUGAAUAACUGUUGCUAAUCGCAUGGCCUAAGUGCCGGCGAUGAAUCUUUCAAGUGUCUGCCUUAUCAACUGUCGAUGGUAGGUUAUGCGCCUACCAUGGUUGUAACGGGUAACGGGGAAUCAGGGUUCGAUUCCGGAGAGGGAGCCUGAGAAACGGCUACCACAUCCAAGGAAGGCAGCAGGCACGCAAAUUACCCAAUCCCAGAACGGGGAGGUAGUGACGAAAAAUAACAAUACGAGACUCUUUUGAGGCCUCGUAAUUGGAAUGAGAACGAUUUAAAGCCUCUAACGAGGAUCUAUUGGAGGGCAAGUCUGGUGCCAGCAGCCGCGGUAAUUCCAGCUCCAAUAGCGUAUAUUAAAGUUGUUGCGGUUAAAAAGCUCGUAGUUGGAUCUCAGUUCAAGCUAUUCGGUCCACUUGCCAGUGGUUACUGUUUGGCUGAACACUUUAUCGAGUUGUCUCUUGGUGCUCUUUACCGAGUGUCAUGAGCGAUCGGUACGUUUACUUUGAAAAAAUUAGAGUGCUUAAAGCAGGCGUAACGCCCGUAUAAUGUUGCAUGGAAUAAUGGAAUAGGACCUCGGUUCUAUUUUGUUGGUCUUCGGAAUCUGAGGUAAUGAUUAAGAGGGACAGACGGGGGCAUUCGUAUUGCGGCGCUAGAGGUGAAAUUCUUGGACCGUCGCAAGACGAACUAAAGCGAAAGCAUUUGCCAAGAAUGUUUUCAUUAAUCAAGAACGAAAGUUAGAGGUUCGAAGGCGAUCAGAUACCGCCCUAGUUCUAACCAUAAACGAUGCCAACCAGCAAUCCGUCUGAGUUCCUUAAAUGACUCGAACGGGCGGCUUCCGGGAAACCAAAGUUUUUCGGUUCCGGGGGAAGUAUGGUUGCAAAGCUGAAACUUAAAGGAAUUGACGGAAGGGCACCACCAGGAGUGGAGCCUGCGGCUUAAUUUGACUCAACACGGGAAAACUCACCCGGCCCGGACACUGGAAGGAUUGACAGAUUGAGAGCUCUUUCUUGAUUCAGUGGGUGGUGGUGCAUGGCCGUUCUUAGUUGGUGGAGCGAUUUGUCUGGUUAAUUCCGAUAACGAACGAGACUCUAGCCUACUAAAUAGAUCGCCGGUUUACAAACAUCGGUGAGACUUCUUAGAGGGACAGGCGGCGAUUCAGCCGCACGAAACAGAGCAAUAACAGGUCUGUGAUGMCCUUAGAUGUCCGGGGCCGCACGCGCGCUACACUGAAGUGAUCAGCGUGCUUUUUAAGCCUACUCUGCCAAGAGUGGGAAACCCAAUGAACCUUCUUCGUGAUUGGGAUAGGAGAUUGUAAUUAUUCUCCUUGAACGAGGAAUUCCCAGUAAGCGCGAGUCAUAAGCUCGCGUUGAUUACGUCCCUGCCCUUUGUACACACCGCCCGUCGCUACUACCGAUUGAAUGUUUUAGUGAGGUCUUCAGACUGGCCGGCGCAGCGGCUCUUGUGGUUGCCGCGCUGUGUUUGGAAAGAUGCCCAAACUUGAACAUUU
rnacentral:rRNA from 1 species